GUGGCUGAGCAGCUGCUCUCCGAGUCUGCAGGAGCCUGAGACGCUGUAACUCCUCUGAGGACAACAGAGACGACAGGAGGAGGACGGCGUCGCCUGCAUCUUGUCCGCGAUGAUGUCAUCGGUGCUGCCGUCCAGGCUGCGUCCCCCCCGGCCGGCGACAGGUGUGUAUCCCUCGGUGAGUGUGUAGGGGUCUGCGUACGCGUCGUCGUGGCGAUGGUGCGUGUAGAGGUUGCGGGGUGUGUGUGAGGUGAGCAGCAGUAAGUGUCGCUCCGCUCGGUCGGCUCGCUCCAACAGCGUCUCAAUAAACACCUGAAACGACAAA